UCCAUCCAUCCCCUCGUCUGACACAGAACGCCACAGCUCCUACUUGAAGACCGAUCGGCGGCGAGGACGGCAGCAGAUGGCAGAGCGACGCGGCCACAUCCGGACGGCGAGCAGCAACCAUCGGCAAGCUGGAGAGCAUCUACCGCCGACCAGCCGGCCUUCAAGCUCCAGCGGCAUCCAUCUGCCGCAGAUCUCUUCAGAUGGAUGAUCAAGGCAGGAUGAUAGACUUUGGAAGUCAAGGACUUGAUGACCAUGAAUUCAGUCAAAGGACUACAAUACCACAUCCAAAUAUUGGUCACCAUCAGGACAGUGGUUGCUGUCCGUGCUAGAAGCUGUUGGAGGGGGUCCUUCUUUGGUUAGCUAACCACAAACAGAAGAUGAGAUAUAUGCGUAUGCUGUGUAUUUUGAUCUCCAUAAUCGGUUGAUAUAUAUAGAGGAGAGAUGCCUACAGCCAUGUGUGUAACGGCUAGUUGCUCCAAGGCAACGGCUAGUUGCUUCAAAGUAAAAUAUUAUUUCUUUAUG